UUCAGAGAUUUAGAGAAUAACAUGUUAACAAGUUUUUAAGAAGGUCUGUUUACAUUCAACACAGAUCUUAGAUUUGUGUAAGUGUAGUGUAUAUUUAUAUCAGAGUUAAAGUUACGUGAUAGUGUGUUGUAAGUCUAUUUAGUUACGUAUGUACCAGGAUUAUAAUUGUAUACGCCAGACGUGCGUUUCGUCCACAAAAGACUCAUCAGUGACUCUUUGAUCAAAAUAGUUGUAAAGCCAAACAAAUUAAAAGUUGAAGACCAUUGAAGACCCUUAAUUCAAAAAAGUUGUGCAAAAAAUAGCUAUGGUAAUUUAGUCUUGGGAUAAGUAAAUUCUUAGUUUUUCGAAAAAUUCUAAGUUUUGUAACAGGAAAUUUAAAAACAUGAUCAUAUAACUAAUAUUCAUUUCAACACCGAAGAGCUGACUACUUGGUUGGUGAUACCCUCGGGGACGAAACGACCACCAGCAGUGGCAUCGACCCAGUGGUGUAAAAUAGUUAUCAAAGGAUAAUAAUUUUAUACGCCAGACGUGCGGCAUCAACAUACCUCGACCAUAUAUACACUAUGUUCUUCAAUAUUCGUCUGUGCUAAUAGUGGAAAGUUUCCAGAUAGUCUGUUAUCGAAUACGUAGUUACAAAAUUGUCACCCUUCUAGUGUCUACAAACACUUCCUUUUUACAUGCUCAUUUAUCUGUUAAUACUAUUCAAUAUAAGACCAAUACUCUUAUAAUUCAUUUGGUAAUGUAAGUAUUAUUGUCUUGAUUAAAUAUGUUUUAUAUAAUCAAGGUGAUUGAUUUUAUUUCAAAAUUGUAGCCAAUGGCAACAAAGUAAGUUAACAAGAUAGUUUGUUAUAAUCGAUACUGCGUUGCUAGAAUUAUGAAUAACGAUUAUCACAGACUUCAUUGUAUUGAACUAUUGAAGACCGUUUUGUUUAUAUAAUAACGUACUAACAUAACUGAUGUUUCUCAAUAUGCUUGUGUAUCACUAUCUUGGACGAUCUACCAUCAUUUCAAUGUGUUCGCAAACUUUCUUUUCGUAUCCCAACAUUUAAAUGUCGGUCAAUAUUCAUAGGUUGCUGUUGAAAGCUUUACAUAAUGCAUCAACACUUUCAGUGUAAAGAAAAAUAUAUAAACCAGUCCAUGCGAAAAGGUACAAAAACGAAAAAUUUACGAAAUUCUAAAAAGUGUGCAUUAUUAUUGAUAGUAGACUUGUGAUUUAUAAAACACAUUUACUUUUCCUCAUAUCAUCAAGCUGUGAGCUACACGCACCUGCAAGUGUUUAGACCCCCCUCCCCUUUUAGUUUUAUCAAGAUUUUUAGUGAAUCAUUUCAUAUAUUUCAAUCAUUUUCAAAGUACAGUUUAAAUGGCUUGAUUGGCCAAUUGAUAUUGUUAACCCCAGGUAGCAGUUCGGAUAAGGCUCUCGCUUACGAUGCGGAUAUCAAUGCAAUCAAACCGGGCAACGGUUCGAAUCCCGUGUAACUAAGGUUGAUUUAUUUAAUAUUUAUUAACUUAACUUAACUUAAAUUUCAAUUUCUAAAACACAAGAUGUCAUAGUUUUUGUAUUUUCCCUCAUGCUUUAAUGUUGUCUUACUUUCUUUGAACCUGUGGAACUGACGCAAAUUAUUGACUUUUGUCUCUGUAGUGUCGUAAAUUUUUAAGUUUCUGGUCGGUAUAGCAUUAGUCCGGGGAACAAUUGAUUUUACACUUGCUCAAAUACCAAAAAUUCAUAUAUUUCUUCGUCUUUUUCUGUUUUAGUUUACAAAUUCGGGAUAUAAUUGACAAUCUUAUGAAUGUAAUUUUUUUUCGGAUAGCAUCGUUUUUCAAAAAUACUAUAACAAACUUUGAUAACGUGUCCUGUAAAGUUUACCAAAGGGACUUGUUGCACCUUUUUCGCAUGGACUGGCUCAUAUGUCCUCUAUUGAAUAUACGGAGAUCGAAUCUGGUAAUAUUUGGCUUGUUCAGUAUCAGUGUUUUAAUGUCUCAUGUUUUCACAUAAUCAUAAUAAUUGAUUUUCUUCCAGGUAUCUAGAAUCUAACAACUUAAAAAGUUUACCGAAAGAUCUGUAUUUGAACACAAAUCUUAUUACAUUGUAAGUAUGACUUAUGCUCAUCUCAUACAUAGAUAUAAGGAGAUGUGGUAUGAGUGUCAAUGAGACAUCCCUCUAUCUAAGUAACAAUUAUAAAAGUCAACCAUUAUAGUUCAAGGUACGGUCUUCAACACGGAGCUUUGGCUCACUACGAACAACAACCUAUAAAGGGCCCCAAAAAUACUAGUGUAGAACCAUUCAAAAGGGAACAUCAACGGUCUAUCUAUAUCAAAACGAGUAACGAGAAACAAGUAUAAACUACAUAAACAGACGACAACUACUGUACAUCAGAUUUCUGACUUAGGACAGGUAUAAUCAUUUACAUCGGGAUUAAACGUUUUUUAAAUUAAUGGUAACAACCCUUCUCCCUUUUCUGAAACAAUAGUAUAACAUCACAACAUAGAAAAACACACUAUUAAAUAUCAUUUGGGAAGGCUUACCUCGGUCAAACUUUAUUUUAGAUUAUAUUUUUUUUAAUGUUUAUGAUCUCGUGAGAAAAAUCGUUGACUAUUGUUCAGUUCAUAUGUGUGAGUGCAAUUGAUAUGUAAUAUUGUUUGGUAUUUUUAACCUUGUUCAUAUGUACCUGGUGUUUUUUUACAUACUUAAGUUCCACAGGUUCGUCACCAUUCUAUUUGCUAUGCAGAUCUCCUUCUUACAUGCUUGUUGAAAUAUAAAACAACACGUUUAAUAAUUUAUUGCGUCCGAAGCGCUUUUCUGGAUUUACCUUCAUCAGGAACGCUCAGAGCCAAACAUUUGAAAUCCGAAGAUGUAUAAGUACCGAAAAUCGUUGAAGAGCUAUAUGUUAAAAAUACCUAAAAUAAAUAGCCAAAUUCAUCUAAAGCCAACUUUGCCUGAGGGAGUUGAAACCUUAGUUUCAUAAUAAUUUCAAAAUUUAUAAACGGACAAUUUUAGUAAAGUUUGUUUAAUCAUGUCAGUACCGAAGCACUGACUACUGAGCUGAUGAUACCCUCGGGGACUGAUAGUCCACCAGCAGAGGUAUCGACCCAGUGAUGUAAAAAUAUAAAACAACACGUUUAAUAAUUUAUUGCGUCCGAAGCGCUUUUCUGGAUUUACCUUCAUCAGGAACGCUCAAAGCCAAACAUUUGAAAUCCGAAGAUGUAUAAGUACCGAAAAUCGUUGAAGAGCUUUAUGUUAAAAAUACCUAAAAUAAAUAGCCAAAUUCAUCUAAAGCCAACUUUGCCUGAGGGAGUUAAAACCUUAGUUUCAUAAUAAUUUCAAAAUUUAUAAACGGACAAUUUUAGUAAAGUUUGUUUAAUCAUGUCAGUACCGAAGCACUGACUACUGAGCUGAUGAUACCCUCGGGGACUGAUAGUCCACCAGCAGAGGACUGGUGAUAUUCCUCUGGUAUCUUUCGUCCCUCUUUUAUGUUAUUCAAUAUUUCAAAAUGUAUUCUAGAAUUCCGUUUUGUAAUUUUAGUAUUAUUGUCCUAAUUAAAAACUUUCUUAACUUGAAUCAUUUUUACAAGUUGGUCUGAUAUCGUCGGACACAAAGCUUCGACUGUUAUACAUGUGAUUGAUUCUUAUCUUAGACUUUAUAUGGACUUCCCCGUUUUGAAUUUGACUUGUAUUUCAUCAUUUUUGUUAUACUUUUGUUAAUAUGAGUAUUAGUGUCUAAGGCUUAUUUACGACGACGUUAGCGUGUGUAUUUUAUCAUAUGACAGGUUUAAUUGCAUAUCUAGUCAUGCACAUAUUAACUGAUGUUCUUAAAGAAAUUAGUCUUGUUUGGAAACAUCUCGUCGUCGUUUAUUGUUUACUCACAAUUCAGUUUUACUUCUUUAUCUUACUGUUAAUGUCGUUCAGUAAUUCAAUAUUGCUGUUCAAAGCAAAAUCAGUUUGAUAAAAACUACACGUAUCCUUUGAAUGCACGGAUAACAACAUUUGGUAUUUUUGGUAGUGUUCAAAUUCAAAUUUGAAUUUAGGAUUUUUGAAUUUCUUAUAAAUCAAUAGGAUAAUUUCAAAAUAAUUUUAAAUUAUGUGUGUUGUGAGUGCUUGUUUUGUAGGGCAGUUGUUCCUCUUGUGUAAUAAAAUGUUUACUUAAUGUCUAAUUUAAAGCUCUAUCCUUUUCGAUUUGAUGAUGUAUACCUCCUUUUGCAAAUAUCUAUAGAAACAGAAUAGUACUUUGUCUCUUAUAAUUCCAUGUUGUUGACGUAUCUUGUAUAUUUCUUUAAAUCAGGAUUUAAAGUGUUUCACAGUUAUGUCAAAAAGCAGACGUCACAUGAAAUGGUAAUUAACCUUAUAUUGAAUAUCAUAUUUAAGGAAUAUGAACAAAAACCAAUUAAUAUGCUGCCUCAUGAUUGACUUUAAAGACUGGGCGUCAAAUAAAACACAGUUUACUUAUGAAGGAACAUGUAUUAAUUCAAAUACCACCAUAGAUAUUCACAGUUUUAAUACGA
rnacentral:lncRNA from 1 species